GAUUAAGUUAUUAAGGGCGCACGGUGGAUGCCUUGGCACUAGAAGCCGAUGAAGGACGUUACUAACGACGAUAUGCUUUGGGGAGCUGUAAGUAAGCUUUGAUCCAGAGAUUUCCGAAUGGGGAAACCCAGCAUGAGUUAUGUCAUGUUAUCGAUAUGUGAAUACAUAGCAUAUCAGAAGGCACACCCGGAGAACUGAAACAUCUUAGUACCCGGAGGAAGAGAAAGAAAAUUCGAUUCCCUUAGUAGCGGCGAGCGAAACGGGAAGAGCCCAAACCAACAAGCUUGCUUGUUGGGGUUGUAGGACACUCUAUACGGAGUUACAAAGGACGACAUUAGACGAAUCAUCUGGAAAGAUGAAUCAAAGAAGGUAAUAAUCCUGUAGUCGAAAAUGUUGUCUCUCUUGAGUGGAUCCUGAGUACGACGGAGCACGUGAAAUUCCGUCGGAAUCUGGGAGGACCAUCUCCUAAGGCUAAAUACUCUCUAGUGACCGAUAGUGAACCAGUACCGUGAGGGAAAGGUGAAAAGCACCCCGGAAGGGGAGUGAAAUAGAACCUGAAACCGUGUGCUUACAAGUAGUCAGAGCCCGUUAAUGGGUGAUGGCGUGCCUUUUGUAGAAUGAACCGGCGAGUUACGAUUUGAUGCAAGGUUAAGCAGUAAAUGUGGAGCCGUAGCGAAAGCGAGUCUGAAUAGGGCGUUUAGUAUUUGGUCGUAGACCCGAAACCAGGUGAUCUACCCUUGGUCAGGUUGAAGUUCAGGUAACACUGAAUGGAGGACCGAACCGACUUACGUUGAAAAGUGAGCGGAUGAACUGAGGGUAGCGGAGAAAUUCCAAUCGAACCUGGAGAUAGCUGGUUCUCUCCGAAAUAGCUUUAGGGCUAGCCUCAAGUGAUGAUUAUUGGAGGUAGAGCACUGUUUGGACGAGGGGCCCCUCUCGGGUUACCGAAUUCAGACAAACUCCGAAUGCCAAUUAAUUUAACUUGGGAGUCAGAACAUGGGUGAUAAGGUCCGUGUUCGAAAGGGAAACAGCCCAGACCACCAGCUAAGGUCCCAAAAUAUAUGUUAAGUGGAAAAGGAUGUGGCGUUGCCCAGACAACUAGGAUGUUGGCUUAGAAGCAGCCAUCAUUUAAAGAGUGCGUAAUAGCUCACUAGUCGAGUGACACUGCGCCGAAAAUGUACCGGGGCUAAACAUAUUACCGAAGCUGUGGAUUGUCCUUUGGACAAUGGUAGGAGAGCGUUCUAAGGGCGUUGAAGCAUGAUCGUAAGGACAUGUGGAGCGCUUAGAAGUGAGAAUGCCGGUGUGAGUAGCGAAAGACGGGUGAGAAUCCCGUCCACCGAUUGACUAAGGUUUCCAGAGGAAGGCUCGUCCGCUCUGGGUUAGUCGGGUCCUAAGCUGAGGCCGACAGGCGUAGGCGAUGGAUAACAGGUUGAUAUUCCUGUACCACCUAUAAUCGUUUUAAUCGAUGGGGGGACGCAGUAGGAUAGGCGAAGCGUGCGAUUGGAUUGCACGUCUAAGCAGUAAGGCUGAGUAUUAGGCAAAUCCGGUACUCGUUAAGGCUGAGCUGUGAUGGGGAGAAGACAUUGUGUCUUCGAGUCGUUGAUUUCACACUGCCGAGAAAAGCCUCUAGAUAGAAAAUAGGUGCCCGUACCGCAAACCGACACAGGUAGUCAAGAUGAGAAUUCUAAGGUGAGCGAGCGAACUCUCGUUAAGGAACUCGGCAAAAUGACCCCGUAACUUCGGGAGAAGGGGUGCUCUUUAGGGUUAACGCCCAGAAGAGCCGCAGUGAAUAGGCCCAAGCGACUGUUUAUCAAAAACACAGGUCUCUGCUAAACCGUAAGGUGAUGUAUAGGGGCUGACGCCUGCCCGGUGCUGGAAGGUUAAGAGGAGUGGUUAGCUUCUGCGAAGCUACGAAUCGAAGCCCCAGUAAACGGCGGCCGUAACUAUAACGGUCCUAAGGUAGCGAAAUUCCUUGUCGGGUAAGUUCCGACCCGCACGAAAGGCGUAACGAUUUGGGCACUGUCUCAACGAGAGACUCGGUGAAAUCAUAGUACCUGUGAAGAUGCAGGUUACCCGCGACAGGACGGAAAGACCCCGUGGAGCUUUACUGUAGCCUGAUAUUGAAAUUCGGCACAGCUUGUACAGGAUAGGUAGGAGCCUUUGAAACGUGAGCGCUAGCUUACGUGGAGGCGCUGGUGGGAUACUACCCUAGCUGUGUUGGCUUUCUAACCCGCACCACUUAUCGUGGUGGGAGACAGUGUCAGGCGGGCAGUUUGACUGGGGCGGUCGCCUCCUAAAAGGUAACGGAGGCGCUCAAAGGUUCCCUCAGAAUGGUUGGAAAUCAUUCAUAGAG
rnacentral:rRNA from 1 species